GAGAAACAUUCUUGUUGGUUCUGUGUCUUAAAGUCCGUAUCUUUUUCUUAUUCCAAGCACUUGUAUCAGCUGCAAAAGUUUCCAAUUUAUCGUUUUGAAUCUCUGUUAUUAUUUGAUUUGGUGACUACUAAUAGCUUACCUUGAAAUCAGCUAGUUGAUUGGUCACAUUUUCUAGUUAAGUAGCUGUGUUAGUGCUACUAUUAUGCUAAGACAAAAUUAUAAGUCUUAGUCUUUAGUUCUUCUGCUACAAAUUGGUAAAUCAACACUAGUAUGUCUUUGUUACUUUUCACUGAGCUAGUUUUAGUUCACAAUGUAUAGCUAUGUAUGCCAUUAGUUCUUAGUCGUAAUUUCUGCUAUCAAUUUAUAGUGAGGUGGUGGUUACUUUAAGUUGUUUGUGUUCUUGGGUGCAGGGGGAUCAGAAAUCAGUGUCACGGAGACAGUGGAUGACAGCAUGUGUGUGCGCAUCCGCAGCUUUAAUUAGCAAUUCUUACACCUUUGUCUCUGUACAAAGCGCAGCCGCUUCAGCUUUAAUUAGCAAUUCUUACACCUUUGUCUCUGUACAAAGCGCAGCCGCUUUAGACAAGAAACCAGGAGGUUCAUGUCU
rnacentral:lncRNA from 1 species